UACGGGGGGAGCAAGCGUUGUUCGGAUUUACUGGGCGUAAAGGGCGCGUAGGCGGUCGUGACAAGUCACUUGGUGAAAAUCUCCGGGCUUAACUCGGAACGGUCAAGUGAUACUGUCGGACUAGAGUACAGAAGGGGCAACUGGAAUUCUCGGGUGGUAGCGGUGAAAUGCGUAGAUAUCGAGAGGAACACCUGCGGCGAAGGCGG
rnacentral:rRNA from 1 species